rnacentral:rRNA from 1 species
UACGUAGGGUGCGAGCGUUAUUCGGAAUUAUUGGGCGUAAAGGGCGCGUAGGCGGCUGCACAAGUCAAAGGUGAAAUCCCUCGGCUCAACUGAGGAACUGCCUUUGAAACUUGUGCGGGCUUGAGGCCGGGGAGGGGGUAGCGGAAGUUCCCAGUGUAGCGGUAGAAUGCGUAGAUAUUGGGAGGAACACCAGUGGCGAAGGCGGCUACCUGGACCGGUUCUGACGCUGAGGCGCGAAAGCGUGGGUAGCAAACAGG